ensembl:lncRNA
UCUCCCUCUUCUCUUCUGCCCUCCCUGUGUCUCUUUACCUCUUUUCUCUUUCCUUCCCCCUCUCUCCCCUAUCUAAUAAAACUUUUCACUUAAGCUCUGUCGGUCUGUCGUAUUUGUCCCCCUUGGUCACCCUCGCCUGCCUGGAAUCCGCCAUGGUCCCCUUCGCAGGCCCCCCUUCCAGCUUUAUCCUACCAUUUAAACAAAAGAACAACAAUGAGGUCUCUUCCUCUUGACAGGAAGGGCUCAUGAGGACUGAUGCUGGUGGUUCUCCAGUGGACCUGGUGAGGAGGAGGCUGUCUUAAGACAAAUGCCAGGAGACUAGACCUGAGCAAGCCCCUGCUUAGAGGUUGGAAGUCAAGAUGCUGGGCAAACAGGACGAAAGCAGACUGGGAGACCAUCCUCUGCAUGAAGGUGCAGGAUAUACAGGCUUCAACUGACUGCUUAGCAGACCCAGGAGUACCCCAACCCUGCUGAUCCUGGGAAAUGCUACAUCUGCCAAACUGCACCAAGUCCUAGGCUCUUGGGGCCAAUUCAGCUCUCAGGCAUAUCGUGCUGGUCAGAAACCACACAGUGGAGUUCAGAGAGGUUUGGUUCGACUGGCCCCAAACUGCACACCUAGUAGGGACAGAGCACAAACCAAAUACCAGUCCUGGCUUCAGCUGAGAAGUACCGCUGUCAAGGAUUGAACUUUCAGUAAGAGCUCUUCCAAGCAUGGCUGUGAUAACUCAUUCAACCCCCGAAGGCAUCCCACAGGAAAAUGGCCCAGCACACGGCAAUUCACAACCCUAUAUCCCCAGUCCCAGGACAGAGGAAAAAGGAGCCAUGCCCAGUGAUGCCUCUCACUCAGUUCCUAUUAACCAUGGACUCCCUACAAACACCCUGAGAGGUGAACUGACUCACUGAGGAAUACAGGAAGCAAUCACAACAUCAACUGGAUAAGCAGAUAGUGCUUCUCAUUGUCCUGGAGCUUUAAGAUUGGGCUCAGCUGACCAGCCAUCAAGUCUCAGGAAUCUGUCUGUUUCUGCCUCCCCAGGACUGGGAUGAUGAGCACUCAUCAUCAAUACCAGCAUUUUACAGUAAACAACACCUUGAUAAAAUCACUGUGUUUGAGUCUGCAUCUGAGGAUGCAGAAGAUCUGGAGAGAGACAGCACUGAAACUCCCAAACUCUACAAGUUCAAACUGUGAGACUGUUGGGAACUGACCAUCCUUUGGAGAUACAGGGACCAUCAGUGGAUGUCAAGGCACUCUGGACAGCAGGAAGUUGCUACUGUGUCCACCUGAAGGGAAAGUGGUACCAAUGGAACCGAGGACUGUGUACACAGGAGCUGUGAAUUAUGCUUUUCUAUCUGUUUUACUCAGAACCAGAUGAGGAGAACAUUAACUUAUUUUAAAUUUAAAAAUAAAGUCUUCAAAAAGGCUGGGGACACUAUUCAAUGGUAACUCGAUUGCCUAGCCCUUGCAAAACCCUCAGCUUGGUCUCUGUUAAGUCUCAGGUCCUGGGACAAAUGGCGGAGGCUGCCUCUGCCUGUGCUUUCCCUUUUAUCUAUCACAAAAUUUCUCCUCCACCAUACCUAGGAAUAGACAUGUCUUUCUCUUUUAUUUCUUUUUUUCAGUCAGUCUCCAGCACCAGAACAAAACAAAUGAAACACAAAAGUCAAAACCCAAAUAAAAAUAAAAAGGGAGAAAACAGUAAUUUUUUGUUUGUUUGUUUGUUUGUUUUUUUGUUUUUUGAGACAGGGUUUCUCUGUGUAGCCCUGACUGUCCUAG